rnacentral:lncRNA from 1 species
AGAGUAUUUUCUUUCUUGUCCAGAUUAGCUAAAUUGGAUUGUUCUAUGCUAAAUUCACUUAAUCACUACUCUAUUAUUUUUGAAUUUUUUAGUUCUGUUUUUUUCACUUGGUUCUUUUUUUAAAAAAACUUCUACUACCUUUCUGAGACUUCUACUUUUUUACUUUUUUCAAGAAGCUUUAUAAUUACUUGCUAAAGCAUUUUUACCAUGACUGUUUUUAACUUCUUCAGAUAACCACAACAUUUGGUUAAUCUUGAGGUUGGCUUGGUUAACUGUCUUUUCUCAUCCUGCUUAUGAUUUUCCUUCUAAUUGUGAUUUUUCCGGUUCUUGAUAGAUGGGUGAUGUUUUAGUUUAUCCUGCAUUUUUUUUUCCUUUUUAAGUUAGAGGAAUCUGAAUCUAUUCAAAUGUUUUAUUUUAGCAGGCAUGUGCCCUGUUUAGGUUUAAUUUGAAUGUCCUGUCCUACUUUUGUAGGCCAUGUUUUCGCAGGCAGUCUUGCUAUCAGAGCUGAGGGGAUGCUGUUUUGAUCACUUAGUUUAUCUGAUGUUGCUGGGCCUCCAACUGGUGCUGACUGGUACUUCCUGAGAUGGCGAAGGUUUUUCUGUACUCUGAGAUGCCGUGUAUCUCUAUGUAAGGGGAGGAGACUCUGGACCACAGGAAUGAAGAGAACAUCUUAGGUCAGGCAGCUCAAUCAUAUGCGAUAACCUGGGUCAACCAGCCAGUAGCCUCAUGAAGUAUGGGAGGGAAUUCUCCAGUGUCAGCAUUCAAAGACAUCAUGAGUUUUUACUUCUCAUUUUCUUUUAAGUGAAAUAAUCGCAUGGAAAUUAAAGAAUAAAUAUAUGAAAUAUAUGAAACUUAUAUGAAAUAUAAGAAUGUGAGAAGGCCUACAGCGUGGGGAUCCCCAGGCUAUUUGAACAAUGAAUGUCUGUGUUACACAUCUUUGCUCACUUUUUCUCUAUUUUUGUAGUUCAUUGUGGAACCAGCACAGAUUUUCAUACGAAAGUUAUUUCUUUUUAACCUCAAAAAGUGACAGAAUGGAGUGUAUCAUGAAAAAGUCUGACAUCAAAACCUCAAAAUGUGAUAUUGAUUGGGUGAGAUAGAAUUCCAUGGAAUUUCAUUGCCAAACCAGUGAAGUGCUAAUUUUGACAUUUGUACCAGCUAACGUAGCUGUGAAGAAACACACCAAUACACUUCUAAGGACAGCAUAGACCAAGAUCUAGGUUUCAUAUGGAUGAAUUUAUUCUUCCCUUUGAGGCAAGACAAGAAGGAAAGAAAGUAUUGGGAAUAAUGCUGCCCUCCCAUCCUCAAGGGCCAGUGGGAACUCUAAUAUUGAUUGGGUGAGAUACAAUUCCAUGGAAUUUUACCACUGAACCAGUGGAGGGCUAAUUUUGUCAUUUGUACCAGUUAACUAACUUGGGAGGAAACAGAACAACACACUCCUGAGAUUGGUUUUCACAGAAUUCCAUGGACUUUAACUGCUGAACCAAUGAUGCACUGAUUUUGUCACUUGUACCAGCUAACGCAUCUGGGAGGCAACAAAACAAUACUCUCCUGAGGUUAAUGUGGACCAAAAACUAGAUUUCAUAUAAAAGAGUUUAUUCCUUCUACUUGAGGUGUGACAUGAAGGAAAGUAAUGGAAAUAAUUCUGCCCUCCCAUUCUCAAGGGCCAGGGGGAAUUCAAAUAUUGAACGGAAGUGAUUUUGGAAUUGCAUGGAAUUCUCACUGCCAUCCCAAAGAAAUGCUGAUCUUGUCACUCUUACCUGUUUCAUUCCCUGGGGGCAGAACAAAAGGACGCACUCCAAAGAUCGGCAUGAACCAAGAACUGGGUUUCAUAUAAAAUAUUUUAUUCUGUCCUCUUGAGAUGUGACAUGAGAAAAGUAUUGAGAAUACUUCUAUCACCUCAUCUUCAAGAAUCCGUAGGAAUUCUCCCAUGGUGGACUUUACGGUUAACCUGAACAGGUCUUGGAAAAAGGACUUUAAACAUUCUCCUGUUCUGUGGAAUAAGUAUACUUUUUUCUGGACAUACACCUUGUCAGUGAGUUCCAUGUGAUACUAGAGUUGCAUAGAUUUUUAACCUUUACGCCAAUGAAGAUCUGAGGCAAACAUUGCCCCUUUUUUAGAAGUUUGCAUUUGUCACUGAUAACUGUAAUAAUUGAUCUUGUUGAAAAGCCUGGGAAAUGAAGAUCUGAUAUGUCACUUUUACCGGCUUCCUCAACUGAAAAAGAAUACAAUGAAACACGCUGAGGUAACAUCUAAUUUUUGAUAUCUUUUUUCCUGGGUUAUUACUGUUUUAAGUAUUUAGGAAUUUAAUGGGUGCUAUAUGGAGUCAGUUAAUUCAGAUACUAUAAGACCUUAAUCUGGUGAGUCAUCUGAGGCUUCUGUUUGUUCUUUUCCAGAAUUUUUGUGCUUUCUCAGUCUUGCUGAUGAUCUUUCUAUGGGCCUGAAGCGUGGAGAGUGCCAGAGAGGCUGAUCCUCAGCAGUGUGGCAGAGGAAAGUUGGGUGCGACUAAGGGGUAUGCGGUGCCCACAUGCCACUGGGUCCUCAGCAGUACCACCUGAUUGGAAGUGAUAUUGGUGGAAGACAACAUUUUGCCGCUUGGAAUUCUCACCUCCACACCAAAGAAGUACUGUUUUUGUCAUUUGCACCAGCUUCUUUCUCCAGGAAAGAUCAAAACGAUGCACUGCAAGUGUGAUUGGUCCAGAUAGCUGCCUUAUCCAACUGCCUCCUUUGGACCACUUCAUCAUGGGACAGCUUGAUGCAAUCUACUUGACAAGACCCUGGAACCCCACACCCCUCAUGGAACCAGUGUCCACCUCCCAGUCACAGUGUGACCCCAGGGAACUCUUGCCUGCUUGCUUUAAACCCACCACUUAAAAGUCUCCACAGAAAACCUGUUUGAAUAGUACCCUUGACCCAAUAAGGGCAUUGGCCCCUGGGUGUCUCUCUCUCUCUCUCUCUCUCUCUCUCCCUCUCUCUCCCUCUCUCUCUCUCGCUCCCUGACCUCUGCGUGUGGACUCCAGGCAUGCCAUAUACCCCUCAGGACCUGAAGCAAAAGAAUGAAUUAAAGAAAACUCCAGAGAAUGAGCUGACAACCUACUCCCUGGUCAGUGGCUCUCCAUGCCUACCUGUGGUCUCUUGGACACCCUUGCAGAAGAUGACUUCCUGGGAACUCUUCUGGGAGUGAAUGUUAUCAGCAAAUUCCCAAAACAACACCCCUUAGACAAAAAGCCUCCUCACCUAUGCAUUGCCUAGACCACCCACUAAAGUAAACUGAACUCCUUCAUGGCUUGAUCCAUUGUGAUGCUAGAAAAUUGUUGUACACAGAAGA